rnacentral:rRNA from 1 species
UACGUAGGGGGCUAGCGUUGUCCGGAAUCAUUGGCGUAAAGCGCGCGUAGGCGGCCCGGUAAGUCCGCUGUGAAAGUCAAAGGCUCAACCUUUGAAUGUCAGCGGAUACUGCCAGGCUAGAGUCCGGAAGAGGCGAGUGGAACUCCUGGUGUAGCGGUGGAAUGCGCAGAUAUCAGGAAGAACACCAACGGCGAAGGCAGCUCGCUGGGACGGAACUGACGCUGAGACGCGAAAGCGUGGGGAGCAAACAGG